rnacentral:rRNA from 1 species
AUGGAUGUGAACAAUGCUUUCCUUCAUGGCGAUCUACAGGAGGAAGUUUAUAUGCAGCCACCUCCAGGUGUUGAAGCCCCAUCUGAUCAUGUUUGUCGUCUUCGAAAGGCUCUUUAUGGGCUCAGGCAAGCCCCUCGUGCUUGGUUUGAGCGGUUUAGUUCGGUAGUUCAGGCUGCUGGUUUUUCUCCUAGUGAGCAUGAUCCUGCACUUUUCGUUCAUACUUCAAAACAUGGUCAUACUUUGCUUCUCCUUUAUGUGGAUGAUAUGCUAAUCACCGGGGAUGAUCAGAAGUACAUUGCUUUUGUUAAGAGAAAACUUAGCAAGCAAUUCAAGAUGUCAGAUUUAGGGUCUCUCAGUUACUUUCUAGGAAUUGGGGUUGACCAUACCGAGGAGGGUUACUAUCUCUCUCAGCAUCGCUACACUCAAGAUUUGAUUUCCCGCUCAGCUCUUUCUGAUACGCGCACUGCUGCUACCCCAAUGGAGCUCCACUUGCAGUUGUGUCCUAGUGAUGGAAUUCUCCUUGAGGAUCCUUCUCGCUACUGUCAUCUUGUGGGCAGCCUUGUCUAUCUCACUGUGACAAGACCUGACAUUACGCAUGCUGUGCACAUUUUGAGUAAGUUUCUGAGUGCUCCUACCUCAGUUCAUUACAGCCACUUACUUCGCGUGCUUCGAUACUUGAGGGGGACAUCUUCUCGUCAGCUGUUCUAUGCUUCCUCCAACCAGCUCCAGCUGCAUGCCUACUCUGACUCCACUUGGGCGAGUGAUCCUGUUGAUCGUCACUCUGUCACCGGCUAUUGUCUCUUUCUUGGCACUUCUCUCAUUGCAUGGAAGUCUAAGAAACAGACUGCAGUGUCCCGUUCCAGUGCUGAGGCUGAACUUCGAGCCAUAGCCACUACCACAUCAGAGAUUGUUUGGCUUCGAUGGCUCCUGGCUGAUCUUGGUGUGUCUUGUGAUGCACCCACCUCGCUCAUUUGUGAUAGUAUCGCUGCUAUUCAGAUUGCCAAUGAUCCAGUUAAGCAUGAGCUAACCAAGCAUAUUGGCGUGGAUGCAUCGUUCUCACUGCCAACAGUCAACUAUUUUUCUCCAAUAUGUUUCCAUCGGAGCUUCAAGUGGCAGAUUUCUUCACCAAGGUUCAGACUAGAGAACAACAUAGACAUCAUGUUCUCAAAC